AACUUUUCAGCUAGAGUAUGAUAGAGGAAAGCAGAAUUUCUAGUGUAGAGGUGAAAUUCGUAGAUAUUAGAAAGAAUACCAAUUGCGAAGGCAGCUUUCUGGAUCAUUACUGACACUGAGGAACGAAAGCAUGGGUAGCGAAGAGGAUUAGAUACCCUCGUAGUCCAUGCCGUAAACGAUGUGUGUUAGACGUUGGAAAUUUAUUUUCAGUGUCGCAGGGAAACCGAUAAACACACCGCCUGGGGAGUACGACCGCAAGGUUAAAACUCAAAUGAAUUGACGGGGACCCGCACAAGUAGUGGAGCAUGUGGUUUAAUUCGAAGAUACGCGCAGAACCUUACCAACACUUGACAUGUUCGUCGCGACUCUAAGAGAUUAGAGUUUUCGGUUCGGCCGGACGAAACACAGGUGCUGCAUGGCUGUCGUCAGCUCGUGUCGUGAGAUGUUGGGUUAAGUCCCGCAACGAGCGCAACCCUCACUUUUAGUUGCCAUCAUUAAGUUGGGCACUCUGAAAGAACUGCCAGUGAUAAGCUGGAGGAAGGUGGGGAUGACGUCAAGUCCUCAUGGCCCUUACGUGUUGGGCUACACACGUGCUACAAUGGUAUCUACAACAGGAAGCAAGACUGCGAAGUUAAGCAAAUCCCUAAAAGAUACCUCAGUUCGGAUUGCACUCUGCAACUCGAGUGCAUGAA
rnacentral:rRNA from 1 species